AUGGAGAUGCUGAGCAUGCUGAAGGUGGGGUACACGGUGCUGCGCAGCGAGACGCCGGCGACGGACCUCGUCAACACCUUCAUGGACUGGGCGGCCCGCCGAUCGCUCCUCCUCCUGGCGCUCUUCAUGCCCCCCUACCACGUCUACAAGCUCGCCGCGUCGGCCGCCGCCACCGUCGCGCCGGAGGACGUCGCGGGGAAGGUCGUGCUCGUCACGGGCGCCUCCUCCGGCAUCGGCGAGCAAAUAGCUUACCAGUACGCGAAGAAGGGAGCGAGGCUGGCCCUGGUGGCGAGGAGGCAGGGAAGCCUGCACGAGGUCGCCGCCAAGGCGACCGAUCUCGGCUCGCCGGACGUGCUCGUCGUGCCGGGGGACGUGGCGAGGCCGGAGGACUGUAAGGCGUUCGUCCAGGCCACGGUCGAGCGCUUUGGCCGGCUGGAUCAUCUUGUGAACAAUGCCGGUCUGGCCAACGUGUGCUGGUUCGAGGAGGUGCCCGAUGUCGCCGGUUUCAAGCAAGUCUUGGACGUGAACUUCUGGGGCACGGUGCAUCCAACCCACGCCGCUCUUCCCCACCUGAAGAGGAGCCGCGGGAAGAUCUUCGUCAACUCCUCGGCCGCGGCGGUGCUGGCAAUGCCAAGGAUGAGCUUCUACAAUGCUAGCAAGGCUGCCGUGCUGAGCUUCGCCGAGACCCUGCGGAUGGAGCUCGGCGACGAGGUGGGCGUCACGGUGGCGACGCCCGGAUGGAUCGAGUCCGAGAUGACCAAGGGGAAGCACCUCUCCAAAGAAGGGAGAGUGGAGGUCGAUCAAGACACCAGGGAUGCUCAGGUGGGCCUGUUUCCGGUGGUGCGUGCCGAGCGGUGCGCCGAGGCCAUCGUGGACGCCGUCUGCCGCGGCCGGCGCAGCGUCACCGUGCCGCUGUGGUACCGUGCGCUGUUCCUCUGGCGGUCAUUGGCGCCGGAGGUGGGCGACGUCCUGCAACGCAUGUUCUAUCGCCGGAGCUCCGGCGACGGCGGCAGCCAGAUGAGGGCGAGGAGGGUCCUGGAGGUCACGGGCGCCAAGCGCGUGCUGCAGCCGCCGUCGCUGCACACCGCGGACAUCAAACGGGAGUAG
rnacentral:rRNA from 1 species